GAGGAAGUCGACCUGAACAAACCGACGGCCGCGGUCAACCUGUGGACAACCAAUCAUCAACAAAACAAAAACUAUUCAGGAGGGAAAAGAAUAGAAAAUAAACCGCCCAGUUUAGCAAUUGAGGUCGUCAAUGUUUUGGGUCUCCGCCCCUAAACAGAUUGCCGCAAUGUGGAUGCGAUGGAAGAGGAGAGAAGAGAGAAGAAAAAAAAAGACUGUCGACAAACUAACGACAGAAAUCAUAAAAAUAGAGGGACCCAAAAGAGCGAGCGAUUCGUUCAACCACGUCCCCGUUAUGACUCAUUAAGGACGUGUUUAAAAACCGUAAGACUCUCUCCUUCUCUGGCGAGCGGCCGUUCAACUGUAUCGACUUUUAGUUAAGAGAAACGAUACAUUAUAUUGUCUCGUCUCUCUCUCUCUCUUUCUCUCUAUUGCCUUGAGUGUUGUAUAUAAAAAAGAAUAAUAACUAUCCCAACGGUUGCGUCAGAUGGACGUGGUGGUGGUAGCUGUGGUGAUGGCAUUGAUUUUUCUUUUUAUUUGUUUUCCCUCUUUAUUUGCCGCUGGUUCUCCUUUUAUGUUUUUUGGGGGGGAAGCUCAUUUUCUCACAGUUGCCGAUAUCUUUCGCUUCCAAUUGGAUUGGCAUUGGAUUGUGAGCUGGGCCUUGACAGUCAAGUGAGAGCCCAAGCUGCUGAGACUCGUGGGAGAGACUCCGGGAACAAGUAAACCGAAUCAAGGUUGGUUUUUCCUACCGACUGCCACGGUGGAAGAGGAAGACUGACUUUUUCACAGAGACACAGAGAGA